AUGGCAGCCCCUCCUUUCUUGACCACAUUGUAUGAGAUAUCAUGGGAUCUUCCUUGGAUUAGCCUUUUGCUGAUUCCAAGAGCUGGGGUAGUUUGGACAGGGGUGAAGAGUAAAAAUGCAUCUGGUUUUUCACUUUCAGUUAUUCCAUGGCAGCGAUCUUUCCUAAAACACAAAAAGAAGGCAAAAGAUAGUUUAAUUCACCAGAUAGUGACUCUUUUUUUUUUUUUUUUGACCUUUUAAGAUUAUCAGAAGAAUCAAAUCCGGUUGACCCCGUUUAUAUGUGUGAAAGAAAAGUAAACUAUGCAAUGAUUCUUGUGUAGAUGAGGGCUUUCCCAUAUUAUAUUUUUUGCAAUCUUCUAAUUAGCUUCCUUUUCCAACUACCAUAACUAUUUUUUUCAUAUAAGAAAAAUUUUUAUUGACAAGACAGUUUCUUUUUUCAGGAAUUCCUUUCUUCCUCCUACUCUUUCAUUGACACAUAGCAUUAGAUACUGAGCCCAUCCAACACCAGACUUCUCUAACCAUUCUGUGCACACUAUAUUUUAAUUUUUAUGUGUUUCUUUUAAUAUUUAAAGUUACAUAAUUUUCAAACAUAAAAAUAGGGAAACUAGGUUCUUACCAAGAAGGAAAAAAAAUCCAGUAGAGGAUUUAGUGGGUUGAAUUGUGGCUUCUUGAAGAUAUGUCCUCGUCCUAAUCUUCAGAGCCUGUAAAUGGAAAAAAGGGUCUUUGCAGAUAUGAUUAGACUAAGCAUCUCAGGAUGAGAUCAGCUUGUGGUAAGGUGGGGCCUAAAUCCAACGACAAGGGUCCUUAUACGAGAGAAGACACAGACAGAUGAGCAGAGACACAGAGGAGAAAGCCAUGUGAAGACUGAGGCAGCGUUAUGCUGUUACAAGCCAAGGGGCACCUGGAGUCACCAGAAGUUCCAAGAGACAAGGAUGGAUUCUCUCCAAGAGGCUUAGGAGAGAGCAUGGCACUGCUGACACCUUGAUUUCUGAUGUCCAGACUCUAAAACUGAGAUAGAAUAAACUCUUGUUGUUAUAAAGCUUUUAGUUCACAGUGAUUUGCUAUUGCAGCCGUGAGAAACAAAUAUAGAGAGCAUUCCAGAAACAGAAGAUGCAAGAGCUAGUCAGAUUGGGAGAGUGGGUUUUUAACAUGAAAUCCUUGUUAAGAUAGAGAAAACUGGGAGAAGAGUAGAAUAAAAACUUUGCUCAUCAGCAUUUAUGCCUGUCCUUUCUUCUUUUCUCCUGUUAGAGGAGAUUUUAAUCUGUAGCCAUUGUUCUGAUUCUGAUAUUUUCUCAGGGACCUCAAAGGUACUAAGAUCCCUUCUCUGUUUCCUUUCUCUUUACCUGAUUUAAGGUUUCAUUCCUGCUAGCAUUUAAAUAUAUCCUUGUGAAUUCCAUUUAAAAAGACAAACAAACAGAAAAUCUUAAUAAGAGAAGAGGUCUUGGGAAACUACACAUGUCUGUAUACACUGGUCAGUUUCAUUCUUUUUAUACUGCUGCCCAGUACUCCAUAGCAUGACUAUUUCAGGCAUUUGUUUAUUCAUUGUAUCCAUUUCCCUUGUGAAGCACAUAUGAUGUUUCAACUUUUCCCUAUUAAAAAUAGACCAAUGUGCUUCCUUUUUGCACAGGUGGGAGUUUUUCAUUAGGGUAGGACUAAAUUAGAUUAUAUGAUAUACACAAAUUCAUUUUCAAAACUCUGGCGGGGUGCA
rnacentral:lncRNA from 1 species